GUGAGGAAUAUUGGACAAUGGGCGCAAGCCUGAUCCAGCCAUGCCGCGUGCAGGAAGACGCAUCUAUGGUGUGUAAACUGCUUUUGUACGGGAAGAAACACUCCCUCGUGAGGGAGCUUGACGGUACCGUAAGAAUAAGGAUCGGCUAACUCCGUGCCAGCAGCCGCGGUAAUACGGAGGAUCCAAGCGUUAUCCGGCAUCAUUGGGUUUAAAGGGUCCGUAGGCCGUUUAAUAUGUCAGUGGUGAAAGCCCAUCGCUCAACGAUGGAACGGCCAUUGAUACUGUUAGACUUGGAUUACAAGGAAGUAACUAGAAUAUGUAGUGUAGCGGUGAAAUGCUUGGAGAUUACAUGGAAUACAGAUUGCGAAGGCAGGUUACUACUUGUGGAUUGACGCUUAUGGACGAAAGCGUGGGGAGCGAACAGGAUUAGAAACCCUAGUAGUCC
rnacentral:rRNA from 1 species